rnacentral:lncRNA from 1 species
CAAGGCACCCUUAGAGAGCAAUCUCCAGCUUACUUACCUGUUUUCCUUUCUUGCUCUAGGACAAGACAAUGGGGAUGCAAAAAUGAAGCCUCUGUUCUCCCAGCUCCCAGAAAAUCCUAUUUUGCUGAAUUAAAAUGCACUCUGGGACAGAUAAUUGAGGACUAGAGAAGGAAGGAAGUGACUUGACCAAUUCACAUCAACAAAAGAACAUAAGUCUAGAUGUAGAAGAGAACUCCAAACCCAUAUAAUUCACCCCUUUCCUAUGUUACAGAGGAGACAACCAAGGUGAAAGGGUUUGGGGUCAAAGAUGCUGAGCAAGCCCUUUUGCUGUCCAAAGAUCAAGGGAAAGAACUCCAGGGGUGGCAAGAAGGCCUGUGACCUUGCCCAGCAAUACUGACCACUCCCAUCAAUCCCAGCAUGAAGCUGCUACAGCUGCUACAUCAAGUAUGAAGGGAAUAGACUAUGAGCGAUGAAGGCAAGACUUUCCGGUCCUUUGCUCUCUCUACCCCGAUGGGAACAGCAGGAAUUGGAGAAGCACAGACCCAAGGCACAUUAAUGGCAAAUGACUUUUACACUGAAAAUGACAGAAUAAAAAUGGCAAACAGGGAAUUGAUGCCCAAGAGAAGUAAGAGGACAAUAAGUGAUCACUUUGUUGCCCUGAACUACAUCCUCAAGUACUGAAAUAAUUUAUAUCCAUGAUAGCUAAGGUACUCUUGGUAAUAUUUGAAAGACAUGGACAAUGGAAGAACUACUUUAGCAUUUGAUAAGGACAGAGAUUGUCCUGAUUUUCAAAAUGGGCUGAUGAGACAGAGUAUAGUUUUCUAACUAUAAGCCAGUCAGUUUGAAAACUAUAGUUGGGAAACAUCUCAAAAGGAAAGCAGCAUAUAAUGAAUUAGCAUGGCUUCAUAAAGAACAGAUCGUACCAGACUAACUAUUUAUUUUUUGACAUGACUACUAAGUUAGUAGAUCAAUGAAAUGCUAUAAAUACAGUUUACCAUAGAUUUUAACAAGAUGUUUGAUUAAAAUGUCUCAUACUCUUCUUUUGGAAAAGGUGGAGAAAUGUAGAGUAAAUAGUAAUGCAAUUAGAGGGAUUAGUACCUGACUAACAUAUACUAUUAUAGUAACCUAACUUUAGAACCAGAAGGGAUGUUAGAAAACUGUUCAAUAUCUUUAUUUUAUAGAUCAGGAAACUCAGAACAAGAGAAGUUAAGUGACUUGCUCCAAGUCACACAAGGGAUAAGUGAGGGAUUGAAAUUCAGAACUUCUGCUAAAUGAUGUACAAAUAAGUGGGCUUAGAACUGUUUGAAUGACCAGACUGAAAGAAUGGCCAUUAUUCAUGCCAACUUGGAAUGAUGAUUUCAGUGAAGUUCUCCAGGCAUCUGCACUAUACCCUAUGAUGUUCAAUGUUUUUAUCAGACU